ACUGGAAAUACCCCUGACAGUGCUAGGCUCGGUGAUGACCAGGGAUCAGAUGAUUCCUACCGGUUGCCGUUUGCCCAGAUGCCGCUGCCCCUUAGAAGUGUCCAUACUACUGCUUCUAGAGCCUCCAGUAAAGGAUCCUGGAGGGAGUGGCCUGUCCUAGCUAUAGAGAGGGCGUUAUUUUUAUCUUUUUAUCUUUUUUUUUUUUAAAGAAUCACGUUUUAUGUAUGUCGGAAUGGUUCUCCAGAGAGAAAGUGAACACACUAAGCGAACUAGAAAGCUGGAAACAACUGAAAUAGAGGCAGUGUCUGUUGAAAGCGAGUUUGUGGAAGCGUCACCUGAUGAACUCCUCCUGAUCACCUCUAUGAAUCCCUCCAGCUAAUCAGAACUGACUUCAUCGACAGAUUAUAUGGUUAAUUACAGUAGUGCUUUACCUGAAUGCCCCAAGAUAUUGAUGUAGUCAACAACCGCGUCAAGCCUCAGAACACUAGAAACCUUGGAUAAACCUGGGAGACAGCUUGUCAAUAUCUAAGAGCUCAAGGAAACCUAAGAAGAGGCAAAAAGAGUGUAAGAGUCAGAGAGGAUAGAGGACACCAGGAGAACAAGCUGCUCUGAAUCAGCUGAUCAAGGUCCUUUCCACCUCUCCUCACAUCCAGAUUCACUUCCUUUCUGUGUCUCUUUAGGAAACAGUCAGACUACAGUCGAGGAGGCAGGUACAUGGAUCAUUGCAGAGGAGGCUGUGGAAAGAGUGUAAGCCAGAGAUGCUGGAUGACUACUCGGGACACAACAGGGUACCUACCAGUUGGAAUGACAAUGACUUGGAUAGCAUCCGCAAGCUCACACUGGACAAAGUUCAACUAAGGAACAUAGAGAGAACUCCCAAAUGCUCAAUCAAGCCAGAAUUCAUUUAUACUUCCUCCUUUCUGAGUCUAAAAUGAAACUGCAGCUCAGUUAUCACAUAUUUGUCAAGAUGUAAGAAGAGAUUCCUUUCCUUGGAUUCUAUUUAGAGGGAACUACAUCAAAGACAGAAAGGGAACUGUUGAAAACAAUUUUAGUGGGUGCCUGAGUAGAACAGAAUAUGGUGGAGCAGCCCUGAAGUUGGAGUUAUAGGCAGUUGUAAGGCACCCAAUUCGGUCCUGGGAAAUAGACUUCAGGCCCCUGAAGGAGUAGCAAAUGUUCUCAACCACGGAGUCAUCUAUCUGCUCUCCACUGUGCAUCUAAGAGUAACCACACUCAAGUCCCAGUGUCCUCUCAAGUGAAGAUACUCUAUGAACCUAGCAGUUAAGUAUGGGAGAAUCAUGGGGUCAUAUUAUCUACACAAAUUAUUUAUAAUGAUUUGAUUUUCAGAGUGUAAAAUCAAAAUACAAAUUUUAAGAAUAAUAAAUGGUACAGAAUUGAUUAUAUUUCUUCUUGAAAAUUUUUAUAACAUUUAUUAACGAUAGAUACAAUUAAUACCAACAACAAUACAGAAAUAUGUACAUUUCUAUACACCUUAAAAAUAUUAUCACAGUUCUAUUUAGGGAAAAUAGGCAUUGAAGAAGUAUCUCAUUUGAAGUGAAUCUUAAUUAGAAUGUCAUGAUAAAUCCUCAAAAUUUACUACUGUAGUUACAACUGAGAUAGCAAGACCACAUUUCAUACAGUUCAAAAUAACUUCCCAGAGCCCACCUGCACUGCACCUGUGAAACCAGCUGGGGUGUGUUUGUUCUCUAGAUUUAUGGCCAGACUUCCUAGUCAAUGCAUCAUUAAUUUCAGAUUUUAUAAUGUCAUUCUCUUAGGUUCUCCACCCCAUUGCUUUGGAAUUGAUGGAGAAUAAUCGAGCAAAAUUAUCAGUGCUAUCCAAGGAUGUUGAAAACAGGAAGGAUUGUUUAAUGUAACACAUAAACAGAAAAAAAAUCUAGAAAUCUUACUGAAAUGGAAAGGCAGAGAAAUGAUUGAUAUUUCACUUCAUAAAUGAGUGUGUUUGUCAAUCCCUCCAUAAUUCCUGUUAGGUGGAAUAUUUACUGAUGGAAGUGUAUUAACCUGGUUAUCAAACCUCCAGGAAAAUUAGCAAAAAUUCUCCUCUUGCAUUUGAUGCUAUGAAAACUCAUAAAUAGUAAUAAACAUAUGUGAUCAUUUUUCGAUUACUAAAUAAACUCUAGGGUAUGAAAUAUAUCUAUUGCUUGGUGUGUGUGUGUGUGGGUGGUCAUGCCAAGGUAGGCAUGUACAGGUGAAAGGGCAACUUUUAAGCACUGACUCUCUCUUUCUACUGUGUGGGUUCCUAAGAUGGAGCCCAGUUCUUGAGACCUGCGAUAAGUGCCUUUAUCAAGCGAGUCUUCUUACGGCCCUAGGUUCUAUUUUGUUGCAGAUGCAGUUAUUUCUGUACUAGUAAUGCAAGCCUUCGGUUGUUAGGGGUGUUUUGGUACCUGUUCUCCCUUUGAAAUACUUAUUGGCUUCUAAAUUCUCCCACAUUUAAAAAAAUCACAAUUAUUGCUAUAAUUAUAGAAAAAUAUCCUCAUACUUUUUACUCUUUACACAAUACAUUUUAUAUAUGAAAUAUACUUUUUCUGAAUACUGAGAGUUUUUCAUUCACAUUACAACAUUUUGAUAAAUUCCCACCAUUUUUCAGCUCUCUCUAGGUUCAAAAAAUGAUAUGGAUGCCUGUUGGCCUUGUUCAGAGAGGCUUUAUUUGUGUUCAAAUAGGAAAGAACAAUGAUUUGUGAAGGUAAACUCCUUACUCUAAGCAAGUCCCGACCGAGUCCCCAGAGUGCUGCUACAUUGAGAAAGAAGUUCCUGGUUGUCCAAGCAGUGUUGGGCAUGGGCUCCGUCAUGUGGCGUGGGCCUCCUUUCAGACGGAUCAUUGCACGGCCACUGUCAUAAGUUCUGUGCCUGCGUUGCCCCAGCAUCUCUCUCAAGAAAGGAAGAUAAUAAUAGGUCGAAGGUUUUGUUGCUGGGUUGGUGUCCUACUCCAAACCACUGGAAGUUACCCGAUUACAGAAGAUGGUUGGUACAUGCUCCAUAUCCUCCAUUACUAGGACUCUAGCUAGGGUCAGUCACCCUUGUCGAAUUCUGGGUAUUUCUACUGCACUAGGUUUCCACAUUGUCCUUACCCCAAAUAUAACCCAGUUUUAUUCAUCUCUCCACGAACUUUCUCCCUCUACCCCCACCCGACCUGGUCCCUCUUACCCAUCCACGAUUGCCCCCAGUACACCCACAAAAUCUAUUUCUCCUUCCCAGGUAACUCCAUGCAUCCCCCUACCCCUUGAGGCCUCCUUGUUACAAAGCCUUUCUGGGUCUAGGUUGCCUCACUCAGGAUAGUUUUUUCUAGUUCCAGCUAUUUGACUGCUAAUUUCAUGGUAUCUUUUUAUUAACAGCUCAGUAAUAUUACUUACUUUUGAUAAUGUUUAUACCUUCACUAACAAUUUCAUUUCUUUAAUAAAUUAUCCCUUUGAUUUCAUUUAUUUUUUACUUGUUGAACACAGAUAAUUCUUAAAGUGCUUACACACCGCCGCACACUUAUGGAGGGACAGAAAUUUGAAUGUAUUUAUAUAUAUAUUUUUUCUCAUUGUAUAGUUAUUUCUUUUGUUCCUUCAAAAAUGUUGCUUUCGCUGGGCGGUGGUGGCGCACGCCUUUAAUCCCAGCACUCGGGAGGCAGAGCCAGGCGGAUCUCUGUGAGUUCGAGGCCAGCCUGGGCUACCAAGUGAGUUCCAGGAAAGGCGCAAAGCUACACAGAGAAACCCUGUCUCGAAAAACCAAAAAAAAAAAAAAAAAAAAAAAAAAAAAAAAAAAAAAAUGUUGCUUUCAAACACUGCUUUAUAGAGUGUGGAGAGGAACUCACUGAUUGAAAAUAAAUCUCUAGUUAUAUAGAUUGACUAAACUGAAAAAAAAAGAUUAAUAUAAACUAGCUAAGCAAAAAGGAUGUAGUAAGUGUAUUACCUGAGUUUUACUUAGUUCAGAAGAAAGGAGGUAACAUGUAGCAGAGAUUUUUCCAAAACAUCCUGAAGAUACAUGUUCACAGAUUCAAAAACUUCAAUGAUUCCUAUGAAGAAUAAAUUUUCAAAUGAAAAAAGAUGAUUAGGAACAUAAAGAAAUGUAGACAACCAAAACUCAAAAAAAACAAACAUUUCAAUGAAUGUCACAAACUAUUCAAAGGAAUUUUAUAAACCUUUCAAAAACAAUGAUAGUCUGAGACAGAUCAAUGUCAUCAGUGUGCUGAAAAAAAUCAAGAGAUAAAUUUAAAAUCUGUAUGCAACAAAAAAUUCUUCAUAAUUUUAAGAUGAUAUUUAGUCAAAUGAAAAAAUUUUAAAAAUUAUUUAAAAGUAAAGGUAAGAAGGCACUUCUAGGAGAAGAAAAGGAUAUGUAUAAUGAAAUAUAAACAAGAAGUAAUGAGAAAAAAGAGGCAGAAAAUGGUGAUGGAAAGAAUAUAUUACCUUAUAAACAUAGGAAUAAGAAACUAUCAUUUCAUUAUAAUAAACAGUAACACAACACAAUUUACAACCAUGAGUUAAGAGAGACACUGUGGGAAACAAAUUGUACCAAUACUGGCCAUUAACAAGAAAAUAAAAACAUUCAUAAUUUAAAUUUUAUUGUGCUUUAUUCAAUAAUAUUUUAAGUUGGUAAAAAUACUUUAUAACCUUUUGAACUAAUUUAAUGAUGUAGAAAGCAAAUUACAAAAUUAGAUUUGUCUGAAAAAUAUUAAUAAAUUUUUUAAAAUAAAGGAAUAUAAUUUCCAGCUGGUAUUGACUCAUAGAGAUUUUUAAAAAAUCACAAUAGCAAAUGAUGAGUGGGUCAAAGAAGAAAACAACAACAAAAUAACCGAGAAGUAGAUGAAUAUAAAAACACAACACAUCAAACAUUCUGGGACACAUUAAGAACAGCCCAGCAGGAAAUAUUGAUAUCUCCAAACAUUUCCAUUGGGGGAAAAAAAAAAAAAAAAAAGAAAGUAAAAAUUGCACAAAUAAACUACUUAAUGAUAUAAAUACAGUUUCUGUUGCAAUGGUUUCGUUUUCAUUUCUGCCCCCUUGUGUAAUUUCCUUAUUUAUUUUGGUUUUGUGGACUAAGAUUCUGUAGCUCUGUUUAUCCUCUCAAAGAACCACCUCUUAGAGCUGUUAAUUCUUUGACUUGUUUUCAUUUUCUACUGGAUUGAUGUCUGCUCUUCCCAUAUUAUUCCUUCCCAUUUAGUGGAUUUUGGUUCCAUUUGUUCUUGUUUAUCCAACUAUUAAUUUGAUCAUAUAACUGUACAAGUUAUGAAAGAACAUUUCACAAAUAUUACUAUUAAUGGGAAAAAUCAAUUUUAAAAUUAAAUUUUAAAUGGAAAAUUGAGAGUAAACAGAAGCAUAUAAAGUUUCGGCAAUAGAAUAUGUUAGUAAGGACAGAUUUUCCAUAUCUUGGGGUUUAAAAUGUGUUCUAUGAAAGUUAAACUGACAAAUGUGUUAGAAUGAGAGUGACAGGAUGCUGGGCUGCCAGAUCAACUGUGCUUAUUAAAAAUGAUUUCAUGAAAAUAAAGAUAUGUGUAGAGAAAAAUAGACAUGCUUUCAUGAAGAGGUAAAAAGAAGUGUAGAGUAAGAUAAUCUUGCUUUUCACAUGUUGACUUUCUUUGAACAGCAGAAUCUAGGGAAACUGUCAAAGGAUGUGAAUUGAACAUUAUUAAUGUGCUAUAAUUUACAUACACAAAAAUUAUAAAUAAAGACACAAUACAUUUAAAGGAAGUGAAGUGAGGUCAAAAUACCUUUAGUUAUUGAUAAGAAAUGGAUUCUUAUUUUAAAUGGUCUACUGUGGAACAUAGUGACUAGAACAUAUUAAUGAAAAUUUUAAAGUAUUUUUUUCAUUUUACAAACCAAUCCUAUUUCCUCAUCCCUCCCCUUCUCCUGCUCCCCUACUUUCCCCCAUCCCAACACCAUCCUCUCCUUAGAGAGGGUAAGGCUUUCCUUGAGCAGUCAAAAAUUUUGGUACUAUUUUCUAUUAACACAUUUUGUGACAAAGAACAGUUUGGAAAAUAAGACUAUGACAGACUAAAUUUGCAAGAUAAUACGUAUAUUUUCCCUUUCUUUUAAUUAAGAGAUUUUUCUAUUCGUUUUACUUAUCAACCAUGGAUUCCCCUGUCCUCCCUCCCUCCUCCCACCCCCCCCCAUGGAAAUUGAUGAAGGCAUAUAUAUUUUAUUAUUCUGUCACUACAACAUGAUGUAUGAUCUGAGAAAUCUUAGAAACAUUGUAAUCUAUACCCUAUUUAAAAUGUAAACUUCAUUUAUACUUACAGUUUUAAGUUAUUUAUUUUUAAAAUCACACAUUGAUAUGGCACUCUGAAGGAAUACACUAUUAGUUAAAUAUAUCAGAAAGUUUAUAUCACAUGGUCUGUUUGAAUUUCAGGAAAUUUUAAUCUCCAUUUUAAUUUAUAAAUUAAUUUUCAUGGUGUGUAUAAUAUUUUGACAAUCAUUAGAUUAGCUAGUAAAGAUGACUGCCCAGCAUACUUCAUACAUCCCUCAUAAUCCUUCAUUAUUACAGUGACAAUGAAAUGCUUAUGAAAAAAUGUGUUAGGAGAGCAACCAGGCAGCCGAAGGGAAGGAACAUCCAAAGAUCUCAUUACAUUUCGUGUUAGGAUGCUUGCUUUGGGGCUCAUUGGAUACACACAUGGCCUCUACUCUCCCUUUAUUAUAUUCAUAAAGAGCUGCUGAACCUCCUAAAAUGUAGCUGAUGGAUUUGUAAAAGAUAUGACAGCUUGUUCAAACAGGUUUCUACCGAACCUUCUAAGAAAAAUUUCAUUCUGAAGCAUAGCUGGGAGGCAUUUAUGUUAGAAAUGUCUACUUUGUCACUGUAAAUUGAAUAUUUCACCUGUCAACAGACUAUCAAAAAGGGACCUGUUCUCUUUCACUUCUCACUCAAUACUACUUAGCACUGAAAAUAGGAAGGAUAAGAUUUUGAUACUCAUAUAAUUAGCAGCAUAUCUUUCUGGUGUUAAAACAUAUGCACAGAUACACACACACACACACACACACACACACACACACACACACACACGCAUGUAUAUAUAUAUAUACAUGCAUAUAUACAUGCACACACACACAAAGUACAAGUUAGAUAACAUUGCAAAUGUAUUUGUUUGCCUGAUUUGAAGCUAAUAUGUAGUUAAACAUAGUGCAGAAGGGGCAACCACCUUUAUGAACAAAAUUGAGUGGUUUUUAACUGUCUGGUGAUAAUCUAAGAAGAAUGAAAUCUUCACACUUUACAAAUGAAUAGAGGGUUCACUUAAAUCUUAUGGUAUUUGCCAUGGACUUAUAUAUAUUUAGCCUACAAUAUAUGACAGAAAAUUCACUAAAAUUAGAUUAUUAAAUUAGUUUUCAAGACAAAAAUCUAUUCUUUCUGUGAAAUAGAAUAGCAACAAGAACUUGGGCGUUGUUUUAAAACAUGCUAGUUUAAUUCAAACUCAGAACACUGGACAGGAUACAUAAGAAGAGAUUUGUACGAAUGAAAUAAUUUAUGUAUGUAUCAAUGAUAGAGAGUUCAGCAAUAGAAAAGAGAAAAGUUAGGCAGGAAAAGGACAAAGACAAAGACAGAAAGACUGGCAUGAUUUCUAAGCAGCCCAGUGAGGAAAAUACAGCAAAUUACUGUCUUCCUACAGUAUCAAACAGUAGGGUCAAUGUCUUCCUGUCUCCGUUUCAUCACCUCUUUUUCUUGAAUCAUAAUGAUACUCACAUUGAGAAGUGGCUGUUAGUGUAAGAGUGCAUUAGAGCCUUUUGACAAAUGAAAUAAAUCUAAAAUUUUAACCUAUACAGAACAUAAAUCCAGUUUUAAGGAGAAAAGAAGAGCAGGAAAUCUUAUAAAAAUAUAAAUCUCUUCUUUCAUCCCGUUUAGCAAAUGCAUCUGUGUGGCUAUAACCAUAUGUGAGGGUAAGUGGGAAAAGACUGGGUGUGUGCUUAUAAUAGAGUCUAACUUCAUUAAAGAUAAUAAUCACUGGACUUCUGAUUGUUAUGUUAAUUAAGUCACUUCAAAAUAGAUCUUUUUAUUGUGUUUCAGUUCACUUGUAUUUUAAUAAAAUCAUAACUUGAUAUGUUUAAAUGUAAUUUCGGUUUAAAGAACCAUGUUUUCUAUUAUGAAUGGAGUUCAAAUACCCACUAAAUUAAUGAUUUUCUAAUGUAAGAUAAGCUUUUUAUAAACAAAAGAUGCCCUGAGAAUAAAUAAGUACCAGUGAAUUCAUUCUUAGUAUCUUAUAUGAUCAAAAUCAGUAUAUAUGCAAAGGCUCACCUUGGUUUCUGCCAAACAAUUACUCACAAUUGAUGAAAAUAUGUAAUCAAUGUUUACAAGAAGACAUAAAACUCAAACAUUGAACUUCUCAAGUGGAAGGUAUAUUACAAAGCAAUGUUGAUGCUUCAUUUCAAAAUGCUUUGUAGUUAGAAACUCAGAUUGAUAGUAUAUGGUGGAAUUAAACCCUGAUACCAACCUCAAAACCAACCAGGAUAGACUCUCCAAAACACAGUGGAGGUUGGUGGCUGUAUUAUAAUUGUUCAUUGGUGAAUCCCAUCAAAAUAAGACAAGAAUGCUGAGAAAGAUUUUGUCGUCUUUUUUGUCUCCUGACAGACUUUCCAUAAAUAUGUUAUAAAUAUUAUAAAUCUAUUACAAAUGUCUAGUCUAUCUGGAAUUUAUGCACUCCUGAGAGAGAAUCAAAAUCAAGAUUUUGCUAUCAUUUUGGAAGUAAAGUUGAAGCCCAGUAAUGUAUUCUGUACUAAGCUAAAAUAAUUAGUUUCAUAAAUAUAUUUAGAAGACAGUAUUAGUAGCUUAGUAUUAGAGGAGUUCAUGUUUAAUUCAAAUCACUUAAUAAUAAAGAAUGAAGUACUGUGAAAUCUUCAGGAGGUAGGUACCAUCUUGGCAGAUUACCAUUCUCUCCUUAAUGCUUGGGUUACAGAUGUACAUCAUCACACUAUACUUUAGAUAUGUACCUUGCUGUAGCAGUUGGAGGAAAUGUAUUACUGUGGGGUGGGCUUUGAGGUUUCCAAUGCUCAGGAUACUGCCCAGUGAGACAGUUGACUUCUUGCUGAUUGCAACAUGUAGCCCUGUCAGCUCCAGCACCAUGUCUUGCUGUACACCACCAUGCUCCCUGUCGUGAUGAUAAUAGACUGAACCUCUGAAACUGUAAGAGAGCCCCUUCAAUAAAGUGUUUUCCUUAUAAGA